AGUCGUAACAAGGUUUCCGUAGGUGAACCUGCGGAAGGAUCAUUACCAAUCCAAAGAUUACAUCUUUUCCUGUGAACUAUUGUUUCUUGUUAAUAUUUGGGUGGCUCUAGUCGUAUUAAAUAUAUUGUAAAUAUUUUUAAUACUUUUAUCCACCCAAAUAUUUGAAUUAAUAACACCAAAUUAAAUCUUAACAAAAAUAUAAAUAAAAAUUUUUGUUUUGUUGAUUAAAAAUCUUCAAUACAAAAAAAAAUUAAAUAAAUACAACUUUUAGCGGUGGAUCUCUUGGCUCAU
rnacentral:misc_RNA from 1 species